GGAAGGUGCAAGCGUUAAUCGGAAUCACUGGGGCGUAAAGCGCGCGUAGGCGGUUAGAUAAGUUGGGUGUGAAAGCCCCGGGGGCUCAACCUGGGGAACUGCAUUCGAUACUGUCUGACUAGAGUGUGAUAGAGGGAGGCGGAAUUCCGCAUGUAGCGGUGAAAUGCGUAGAGAUGCGGAGGAACACCAAUGGCGAAGGCAGCCUCCUGGAUUAACACUGACGCUGAGGCGCGAAAGCGUGGGGAGCAAACAGGAUUAGAUACCCUGGUAGUCCACGCCGUAAACGAUGUCAACUAGCCGUUGGGAGCACUUUGGCUCUUGGUGGCGCAGCUAACGCGAUAAGUUGACCGCCUGGGGAGUACGGUCGCAAGAUUA
rnacentral:rRNA from 1 species